rnacentral:rRNA from 1 species
GACGAACGCUGGCGGCGUGCUUAACACAUGCAAGUCGAACGGAAAGGCCCUGCUUUUGUGGGGUGCUCGAGUGGCGAACGGGUGAGUAACACGUGAGUAUCCUGCCCUUGACUUUGGGAUAACUUCAGGAAACUGGGGCUAAUACCGGAUAGGAGCUCCCGCUGCAUGGGGGUGGAUGGAAAGUUUCGGCGGUGUGGGAUGGAUUCGCGGGUUAUGGGCUAGUUGGUGAGGUAGUGGCUUACCAAGGCUUUGACGGGUAGCCGGCCUGAGAGGGUGACCGGCGUCAUUGCGCCUGCGGGACGCACCAGAAGGCUACGUGCCGCAGCAGGGGGAAAUCUUGCGCAAUGGGCCGACGCCUGUUAUAGCGACGCCGCGUUCGUAAUGACGGCUUACGAGUUGUAAACCGCUUUGGCAGGUGAUGAGGCGUGAGUGACGGUAAUGAGUAAAAAAGCACCGGCUAACUACGUG